rnacentral:tRNA from 1 species
UGGAGGAUGGCUCAGUGGCUGACAGCACCUGCUUGCUAAGCAGGAAGACAAGAGUUUCAGUCUCCAGCAUCCAC